UAAACCGCUUUUAGCCGGGACGAAAGCUCCACUCCUAAUACGGGUGGGGGUUGACGGUACCGGCGGAAUAAGCACCGGCUAACUACGUGCCAGCAGCCGCGGUAAUACGUAGGGUGCGAGCGUUAAUCGGAAUUACUGGGCGUAAAGCGUGCGCAGGCGGUUCGUUGUGUCGGCGGUGAAAGCCCCGGGCUUAACCUGGGAAUGGCCGUUGAAACUGGCGAACUGGAGUGUGGCAGAGGGGGGUGGAAUUCCGCGUGUAGCAGUGAAAUGCGUAGAGAUGCGGAGGAACACCGAUGGCGAAGGCAGCCCCCUGGGCUGACACUGACGCUCAGGCACGAAAGCGUGGGGAGCAAACAGGAUUAGAUACCCUGGUAGUCCACGCCCUAAACGAUGUCAACUGGGUGUUGGGGAAGCGAUUUCCCAGUACCGUAGCUAACGCGUGAAGUUGACCGCCUGGGGAGUACGGCCGCAAGGUUAAAACUCAAAGGAAUUGACGGGGACCCGCACAAGCGGUGGAUGAUGUGGAUUAAUUCGAUGCAACGCGAACAACCUUACCUACCCUUGACAUGUGCCGAAGCCCGCUGAGAGGUGGGGGUGCCCGAAAGGGAACGGCAACACAGGUGCUGCAUGGCUG
rnacentral:rRNA from 1 species